rnacentral:lncRNA from 1 species
CCUUUCAGAUGAGAGCCCUACUGAACAUCAAAAACAGGGUGUUAAAGAAGCGAUCCCUGUCUUACGCAUAAAACAAGACUUUAUAGAAGAGAUCCCUGUUUCACACCAAAAACAAGGCGUAACAGAAGAGAUCCCUGUUGCAAACCAGCAACAAAUCAACCUUACAUCAGAGAUAACUAGAUUCCUUUUACGCAAGGACUUGCUUUUCUCCCGAUUAACAAGCUUUAACGAUCGGGCAGAGUCCUUUCAUACUUGGAAAGCAAGCUUCAAGAACGUGACUGAUGAGUUACAAGUCUCUGACUCAGAACAGAUCGAUUUACUGAUCAAGUGGC